AAUUGAAGAGUUUGAUCAUGGCUCAGAUUGAACGCUGGCGGCAGGCCUAACACAUGCAAGUCGAACGGUAACAGGAAGAAGCUUGCUUCUUUGCUGACGAGUGGCGGACGGGUGAGUAAUGUCUGGGAAACUGCCUGAUGGAGGGGGAUAACUACUGGAAACGGUAGCUAAUACCGCAUAACGUCGCAAGACCAAAGAGGGGGACCUUCGGGCCUCUUGCCAUCGGAUGUGCCCAGAUGGGAUUAGCUAGUAGGUGGGGUAACGGCUCACCUAGGCGACGAUCCCUAGCUGGUCUGAGAGGAUGACCAGCCACACUGGAACUGAGACACGGUCCAGACUCCUACGGGAGGCAGCAGUGGGGAAUAUUGCACAAUGGGCGCAAGCCUGAUGCAGCCAUGCCGCGUGUAUGAAGAAGGCCUUCGGGUUGUAAAGUACUUUCAGCGGGGAGGAAGGGAGUAAAGUUAAUACCUUUACUCAUUGACGUUACCCGCAGAAGAAGCACCGGCUAACUCCGUGCCAGCAGCCGCGGUAAUACGGAGGGUGCAAGCGUUAAUCGGAAUUACUG
rnacentral:rRNA from 1 species